UACGUAGGGUGCAAGCGUUAAUCGGAAUUAUUGGGCGUAAAGAGCUCGUAGGCGGUUUGUCGCGUCUGCUGUGAAAACCUAAGGCUCAACCUUGGGCUUGCAGUGGGUACGGGCAGACUAGAGUGCGGUAGGGGUGACUGGAAUUCCUGGUGUAGCGGUGGAAUGCGCAGAUAUCAGGAGGAACACCGAUGGCGAAGGCAGGUCACUAGGCCGCAACUGACGCUGAGGAGCGAAAGCAUGGGGAGCGAACAGG
rnacentral:rRNA from 1 species